UAUCAUUCCUCUACUUGCUAGAUGGAGUGCUCCCCUUUUCCUGGAAUGCUUAGUAAAGCCAAUGACUUAUUAGUUUCCUUGGUUGAAUUCUGUUUUCUAAUGCAUUUGGGGAUUAGAAGCCAAGCUCCACCGGCAUUUGGGGACAACGAGAAACAGGCGUGGGGGGCCCCCCCGAGAACUCUUGCGUUCACCGUUGUUUCUGGCUGCUUCUCAGAGCUGUGUGGUGUGUCAGAAGGAAGAGGUGAGCAUAAGCCUCUUGGAGCUGUUGACACUACCUGAAGCACGAUCCCAAGGAGACUACUGCCCAGGUUGUCCUUACUGACACUGAACCAAGAAGUUACGGCCGCGUGCUUAAGUGUUCUACAAUUACCUUCCUCCGGAUGUUAAUUACCAACUUGGAUUUCUCUCCUGGAUGACUCAGUGGGCCGUAAUAGCCUGAUGGUAAAUACCUGUGGCAGGGCCGUGAAGCAGUCAUCUCCAUAAAGAGGGCCUGGAUCACGAGACAGAAACGAGAGAGAGGGGGAGCGAGAAGCAGAGGGAGAAGCACACUCCCCGCUGAGCAGAGAGCCCG